CAUUAGCGGAUUUAAGAGGUUCAUGGGCCCGAAUUCUUAGGGCCGAAUUAAUAAAAAAAAAUGAAAAAUACAUUUAUUUCGGUGAACCGAUCCUUCCGCGUGAACCUGAGGAGGGGAGUUCAAGCCACGCGUCGUGCUCUCAGUCGCUUGCUCCUGCGAGUCUCUCCUUCGCCAUCUCCGACCAGUCACUGCAAACUCGUUUCCUCCUCCCACUGACUUGCCGGAUCUGGUGUCUCCAACAAACUCCGGCGGAGUAAAACCCUAAAUCGACUCUUUACUUUUUUCGCCGCCGACCAAAGGGAAUGAAGGUGUUCCAUCUCGACCGCGAAAACACUCUCUCUGUUUCUCUCUUCUCCGAUGUCACCAACUCCAAACGAAGGAGGACUUCAUGGAAGAUAAUAUCAAGGUGGGAGAUAGAUGCCAAGUUGAGCCCGGGGAGAAAAGGGGAGUGGUCAAAUACGUUGGACGAGCAGAGUCGUUGGGUCCUGGCUAUUGGGUUGGAAUCCAGUAUGAUGAACCUCUUGGAAAACACGAUGGCAUAAUCAUUGAAACGAUGUAGGAUAUCUCAAAGCUCUACUUACAUUCUAGCUGCCCGGUUCAAUGCUUCUCCCCUUGAGCUUCCUCUUUCGCUACUCAAGACUGCUCAAGGACAUCCCAUGCUUGUGGAGCUCAAGAAUGGAGAGACCUACAAUGGGCAAUUAUUAUAGUCUUCUAUAUGAAAGUUAUGUGUUCUCUUAAAGUUACCACUAUUAUUAUGAGCAUUAGGUUGAUUCUGAUCAAUAGACAUUUGCCUUCAUAUUGAAUAAAAACUUUUAUUUUUUUUUUCUAAAAUAUUUUAUUUUAUUUUUAUGAA